GCACGCGUAGUUUAGUGGUAGAACUUUAGCUUCCCAAGCUAACCGUGCGGGUUCGAUUCCCGUCGCGUGCUCCA
rnacentral:tRNA from 1 species